rnacentral:rRNA from 1 species
AUUGAACGCUGGCGGCAGGCUUAACACAUGCAAGUCGAGCGGGGGAGGUUGCUUCGGUAACUGACCUAGCGGCGGACGGGUGAGUAAUGCUUAGGAAUCUGCCUAUUAGUGGGGGACAACAUUCCGAAAGGGAUGCUAAUACCGCAUACGCCCUACGGGGGAAAGCAGGGGAUCUUCGGACCUUGCGCUAAUAGAUGAGCCUAAGUCGGAUUAGCUAGUUGGUGGGGUAAAGGCCUACCAAGGCGACGAUCUGUAGCGGGUCUGAGAGGAUGAUCCGCCACACGGGGGCUGGGACACGGCCCAGACUCCUACGGGAGGCAGCAGUGGGGAAUAUUGGACAAUGGGCGGAAGCCUGAUCCAGCCAUGCCGCGUGUGUGAAGAAGGCCUUUUGGUUGUAAAGCACUUUAAGCGAGGAGGAGGCUCUUAAGGUUAAUACCCUUGAUGAGUGGACGUUACUCGCAGAAUAAGCACCGGCUAACUCUGUGCCAGCCGCCGCCGUAACAC